UGGGGAAUAUUGGGCAAUGGGCGAAAGCCUGACCCAGCAACGCCGCGUGAUUGAAGAAGGUCUUCGGAUUGUAAAGAUCUGUCCUAUGGGAAGAAACAAAUGACGGUACCAUAGGAGGAAGCCCCGGCUAACUACGUGCCAGCAGCUGCGGUAAUACGUAGGGGGCGAGCGUUGUCCGGAAUUACUGGGCGUAAAGGGUGCGUAGGCGGUUUUUUAAGUCAGAUGUGAAAUACCCGGGCUUAACCUGGGGGGUGCAUCUGAUACUGGGGAACUUGAGUGCAGGAGAGGAAAGUGGAAUUCCUAGUGUAGCGGUGAAAUGCGUAGAUAUUAGGAGGAACACCAGUGGCGAAGGCGACUGUCUGGACUGUAACUGACGCUGAGGCACGAAAGCGUGGGGAG
rnacentral:rRNA from 1 species